rnacentral:misc_RNA from 1 species
AACCAUUCUCACCUGCGGCUAGACCUGCGGAGGGAUCAUUACCACGCGAUCCAAAACGCUCACUCACGUGUAACAACGUAACCCAUGGUGCAAGCCGUUGCAGCGAUGUGCGGCUUGGGCAGCUUAACAGCCAGUGGUUUAGCGAGCACUCCCCGUCUAACGAACAGGUGUGCCUCGUGGCUCUGCCGUUCUCACCAGUAACUGAACCACACAUUCUUCACAAACCAAUCAUUUCAAACC